UACGUAGGGGGCAAGCGUUGUCCGGAUUUAUUGGGCGUAAAGAGCGUGUAGGCGGCUAGGUAGGUCCGUUGUGAAACUCGAGGCUCAACCUCGAGACGCCGAUGGAAACCAUCUGGCUAGAGUCCGGAAGAGGAGAGUGGAAUUCCUGGUGUAGCGGUGAAAUGCGCAGAUAUCAGGAAGAACACCCGUGGCUAAGGCGGCUCUCUAGUACGGUACUGACGCUGAGACGCGAAAGCGUGGGGAGCGAACAGG
rnacentral:rRNA from 1 species